ensembl:lncRNA
AACUGGGAGCGUUACUUGAGGAAGCUGCUGAGAAGGUUCCCACUCAUGGCUCUGCCCCGGAGCUGCUGCCGUUGCAUAGCAAAUAUGGGAAAUGCUUCAUUUCUCCUUCGUUUCAGGUCAGACAGGGUGGGGUGGGGACCUUGGGGCUGCAGAGCUGCAGCAAGCCCUGGUGCUGGGAGCUGCUGCCUGCUUUGAAAUCGAGGAAGAAGAAAAGGAGAUGGGAAAUCCCAGGUGUGGAGGUGCGCCUGGAGCCUCCAUGUUGUGCCACUGCUGGAGCGUGGCUCUUCCAAAUGCACUCACGCAUGGAUGCACGCUCAGUAAGCCCACGAGUGGGGGACCCGUAGCGUCCCUGGGGUAACCCCAAGGCACAGUCCCAUAGUCCAGCAAAAUCACAGCAGGAUAAGAAUCAGAGAGGGGAAAAUGCUGCAGCAACAGGCGCAGUGUGAGAGACACCCCGUGCAGAAGUGCCCUCUCCUAUGCCUGCUGUGCUGAAGAACCCUGCAGGCAAAGGGCCCCCGGCUGCACGGCCUGGCGGGGGGUGUGGGGACCUCCAUGGGCGGGGGUUGGGGUGCGUGGGGUGAGAGGAGCAGCUGUGUUUACUUUCCAUCUGCUGGAGGGAACAACAGGGGAUUUUUGUGUGUGUGUGUGUGUUUUAUUCUCUUCUUUUUUUUUUUUUUCUUCUUUUUGGAGGCUUUGUGUGUCCUUCACCAGCAAGAAACCAUCAUGUAAACAUCCGCUGCUCUACCAGGAAGGGAGCACGGAUGUGGGGCUGUGGGGAUGCUGAAGGCGUCCUGCAUCCCCCCGGCACACACCUGCGGCCGGGUGGCAGCGGAGGCUGUGCUGUCCCCUCACAGUGACCAACAGGGAGCUGUGCUCAUGGGGUUCCCCUGAUCCCUUGGGAUGAGGGAUGCAGGGGGCAGCAGGACGCAGACCUUCACCCCCAGGCAGUGGGACUGCGGGUGUCCGACGGCUGUGGGACGGAGCUGUGGCUCAGCGGCACGGCAGCAUCGGCUGGGGGAGGUGGGACCUUUGGCUGGCCCUGAGCGUCAUCGUCUCCAGCGAGGAGGAGAGGAAGCAUCUGACUUGGAGCAGACAUUACCCUCCGACCCCCGCGCCCAGGCCGGCUGUUGAGUCAUUUAACACCCUCCCUUUGGCCGAGGGGCUGAAGAAGCCUGUGGGCAGGCAGUGCUGCUCUCCAGCUGCCUCCUGCAGAGGGGAAGGGGCUGCGGUGCUGCCGGGCUGGGCAAGGACGAGGACAUGUCCGGACAUGCCGAGCUGUACUCUGUUGUCCCACGGCAUCACUGCCACCAUCAGGGCGAUGCCUCCAGGGUGACACCUCAGAGCAUCCCCACUUUGGUUCCUGGGGCUGGGCUGGGGCUGCGGGGCCGUUCAGCUGUCGGUGCUGCAGCCCCAGCACCCAGCCAGGCGCAGCGGCAGCGGAGGAUUUGCUUUGUUUACUCUGCAACUUUGGCUCUGGCUGGAGUUUGUGAAGGGGUCAGGCUGAUUGGGUUGUUUUCCUGCACUUUACAAUUUCCUAUGUGGUACUUUAAUAGACGUGAGGGCGCCUGCAGCUACAGAGAGGCACUCUAUUUUAUUUUCAAAAUGGAAGUAAAUAAAGAAAUAAAUGCACCCAGCCGCCCCCCCUCCCCCCCUUAAUGCCUCGCUAUCUCUCUGCAGCCCCUCCCCAGCUUCCUCUGGCUCGGGGGAACCUCUUUUCAACCCACCACAAUAUAUAUUUUAACGAGGGCUGUUAAUUAGCCCCGGCCCCAGCCUGCUAUGUGGGGCUGUGUGGAGCGGUGUGGCAGUGGCUCUCUGCUGGGUGCAGGGAGAUGGUGGUGUGAGCCAGGGAUGCUCCACAUCACUGGGGCUCCUCGGGGAGGAGUGAUUUGAACGGGAUGGGGCAGAGGGACCUGAGAGGACAGGUGUGUGUGGAGGAUGCCAGCACGCUGCUGGGGCAAUGCGCUCCUAUUGCGGUGCAUUUAAUUGGGGCUCCCAGGAUGGAGGUGACCUUUUCUGCUGCUUUUCUCAUCCCUAUGAGCAGGCAGAGCUCUGCCCCGUGCCUGAGGUGGCCGUGCAGCGUUGGCAUUGCAGCAGCAGUGGCACGGCCCCUCGGUGGCAUCCUGGGCAGGGCGCAGGGACCUGCCGCUGAGGCUGGGCGUCGCACAAACAGCCGGGCUGCGCUUGAUAAGGUGCCAGCGGUGCCUUUCUCUGGGCUUUUCCGUGCUCUCCCGAGCCCCGAGGGCAAACAUUCCUGGCAUAUUUGUCAUGUUCAGCUCAAUACAGCAUCCUUCAGAACAGAA